AGCGCAUACGGUGGAUGCCUUGGCAGUCAGAGGCGAUGAAAGACGUGGUAGCCUGCGAAAAGCUUCGGGGAGUCGGCAAACAGACUUUGAUCCGGAGAUCUCUGAAUGGGGGAACCCACCUAGGAUAACCUAGGUAUCUUGUACUGAAUCCAUAGGUGCAAGAGGCGAACCAGGGGAACUGAAACAUCUAAGUACCCUGAGGAAAAGAAAUCAACCGAGAUUCCCUUAGUAGUGGCGAGCGAACGGGGAUUAGCCCUUAAGCUUCAUUGAUUUUAGCGGAACGCUCUGGAAAGUGCGGCCAUAGUGGGUGAUAGCCCCGUACGCGAAAGGAUCUUUGAAGUGAAAUCGAGUAGGACGGAGCACGAGAAACUUUGUCUGAACAUGGGGGGACCAUCCUCCAAGGCUAAAUACUACUGACUGACCGAUAGUGAACCAGUACCGUGAGGGAAAGGCGAAAAGAACCCCGGAGAGGGGAGUGAAAUAGAACCUGAAACCGUAUGCGUACAAGCAGUGGGAGCCUACUUGUUAGGUGACUGCGUACCUUUUGUAUAAUGGGUCAGCGACUUAUAUUCAGUGGCAAGCUUAACCGUAUAGGGUAGGCGUAGCGAAAGCGAGUCUUAAUAGGGCGUUUAGUCGCUGGGUAUAGACCCGAAACCGGGCGAUCUAUCCAUGAGCAGGUUGAAGGUUAGGUAACACUGACUGGAGGACCGAACCCACUCCCGUUGAAAAGGUAGGGGAUGACUUGUGGAUCGGAGUGAAAGGCUAAUCAAGCUCGGAGAUAGCUGGUUCUCCUCGAAAGCUAUUUAGGUAGCGCCUCAUGUAUCACUCUGGGGGGUAGAGCACUGUUUCGGCUAGGGGGUCAUCCCGACUUACCAAACCGAUGCAAACUCCGAAUACCCAGAAGUGCCGAGCAUGGGAGACACACGGCGGGUGCUAACGUCCGUCGUGAAAAGGGAAACAACCCAGACCGCCAGCUAAGGUCCCAAAGUUGUGGUUAAGUGGUAAACGAUGUGGGAAGGCUUAGACAGCUAGGAGGUUGGCUUAGAAGCAGCCAUCCUUUAAAGAAAGCGUAAUAGCUCACUAGUCGAGUCGGCCUGCGCGGAAGAUGUAACGGGGCUCAAACCACACACCGAAGCUGCGGGUGUCACGUAAGUGACGCGGUAGAGGAGCGUUCUGUAAGCCUGUGAAGGUGAGUUGAGAAGCUUGCUGGAGGUAUCAGAAGUGCGAAUGCUGACAUGAGUAACGACAAUGGGUGUGAAAAACACCCACGCCGAAAGACCAAGGGUUCCUGCGCAACGUUAAUCGACGCAGGGUUAGUCGGUUCCUAAGGCGAGGCUGAAAAGCGUAGUCGAUGGGAAACAGGUUAAUAUUCCUGUACUUCUGGUUACUGCGAUGGAGGGACGGAGAAGGCUAGGCCAGCUUGGCGUUGGUUGUCCAAGUUUAAGGUGGUAGGCUGAAAUCUUAGGUAAAUCCGGGGUUUCAAGGCCGAGAGCUGAUGACGAGUCGUCUUUUAGAUGACGAAGUGGUUGAUGCCAUGCUUCCAAGAAAAGCUUCUAAGCUUCAGGUAACCAGGAACCGUACCCCAAACCGACACAGGUGGUCGGGUAGAGAAUACCAAGGCGCUUGAGAGAACUCGGGUGAAGGAACUAGGCAAAAUGGCACCGUAACUUCGGGAGAAGGUGCGCCGGCUAGGGUGAAGGAUUUACUCCGUAAGCUCUGGCUGGUCGAAGAUACCAGGCCGCUGCGACUGUUUAUUAAAAACACAGCACUCUGCAAACACGAAAGUGGACGUAUAGGGUGUGACGCCUGCCCGGUGCCGGAAGGUUAAUUGAUGGGGUUAGCGCAAGCGAAGCUCUUGAUCGAAGCCCCGGUAAACGGCGGCCGUAACUAUAACGGUCCUAAGGUAGCGAAAUUCCUUGUCGGGUAAGUUCCGACCUGCACGAAUGGCGUAACGAUGGCGGCGCUGUCUCCACCCGAGACUCAGUGAAAUUGAAAUCGCUGUGAAGAUGCAGUGUAUCCGCGGCUAGACGGGAAGACCCCGUGAACCUUUACUGUAGCUUUGCACUGGACUUUGAGCCUGCUUGUGUAGGAUAGGUGGGAGGCUUUGAAGCGUGGACGCCAGUUCGCGUGGAGCCAUCCUUGAAAUACCACCCUGGCAUGCUUGAGGUUCUAACUCUGGUCCGUAAUCCGGAUCGAGGACAGUGUAUGGUGGGCAGUUUGACUGGGGCGGUCUCCUCCUAAAGAGUAACGGAGGAGUACGAAGGUGCGCUCAGACCGGUCGGAAAUCGGUCGCAGAGUAUAAAGGCAAAAGCGCGCUUGACUGCGAGACAGACACGUCGAGCAGGUACGAAAGUAGGUCUUAGUGAUCCGGUGGUUCUGUAUGGAAGGGCCAUCGCUCAACGGAUAAAAGGUACUCCGGGGAUAACAGGCUGAUACCGCCCAAGAGUUCAUAUCGACGGCGGUGUUUGGCACCUCGAUGUCGGCUCAUCACAUCCUGGGGCUGAAGCCGGUCCCAAGGGUAUGGCUGUUCGCCAUUUAAAGUGGUACGCGAGCUGGGUUUAGAACGUCGUGAGACAGUUCGGUCCCUAUCUGCCGUGGACGUUUGAGAUUUGAGAGGGGCUGCUCCUAGUACGAGAGGACCGGAGUGGACGAACCUCUGGUGUUCCGGUUGUCACGCCAGUGGCAUUGCCGGGUAGCUAUGUUCGGAAAAGAUAACCGCUGAAAGCAUCUAAGCGGGAAACUUGCCUCAAGAUGAGAUCUCACUGGGAACUUGAUUCCCCUGAAGGGCCGUCGAAGACUACGACGUUGAUAGGCUGGGUGUGUAAGCGUUGU
rnacentral:rRNA from 1 species